CAGAUGUGUUUCCUCCUCAGAUGACAGUCAGUAGCCCUGGAACUUCUGACUUGUUUUAACAAUUGUGGUACAAUACUUAAAAAAGAAAAGAAAAGAAAAACCUUUUUAUUUUUCUGUAACUAGAUAUUUCAGGCCAAGAAAACCAGCAUUUUUUUUUUUUCUAAACCUUACCUUGGCAGUUGGCAGAAUGAAUGACCAGGGUGACCCCGCCCUGCAGAGCACAUGAUCUGCCACAGCUGUGCAUGUUUUUUAGCAUGACUGUGCCAGGACAGAGCUCCAAGCCACGGGGUGGAGCAAUGUGCCCCUGGGAGAAGGCUCAUGACAUUUCCCUUAUGAUUUCAAAAAAGAAGAGAAAAAAGUUCUUUUUCUUUUCUUAUGAGUUGUUUCUGUAUAACGUCAACAGAAAAUGUCCUUGUGUUUAUUCAUAUCCAUGUAUGAAUAUGGAAAAAAUCAGCUACGUUACUACAGUGGGAAUAAAUGCACACCACAUUUGACCUUAGAGUGAAGGUCAAUAAGGCUCACGUUGCUAGUUAGCUCUUUUCUUAACCUCCACUUUAUGCUUUUCCUAACAAGCCUAAAUUUAUUUGAGAUGGUAGCAAAGACAGCUAAAUAAUUACUCCCAGUCCCUCUCAGAGAGGUAGCUCAAUGAGACCAGAAAGGCUGUGCACAAUUCCCUAAUAGGAUGCUCGUCCCUCAGCUUGACUUAUUUCCCAUUUCCUUUGAUUGGAAUGCCAUCUGAUGGUUGGAGUACCAAUAGCCAUCCUGGAACUUUUGAUGACCUUGAGGAUAGAAACUCCAGACCUUUGUGAUGGGGCCAUAUGACAAAGAAGGCUGGAUAAGAAAGAUGAUGACAUAGAAGAAGGAGACCUUCCAGAACACAAGAGACCCUCAGCACCUAUCGACUUCUCAAAGCUAGACCCAGGCAAACCUGAGAGCAUCUUGAAAAUGACAAAGAAAGGGAAGACUCUGAUGAUGUUUGUCACCGUGUCUGGGAACCCCACCGAGAAGGAGACAGAGGAGAUCACCAGCCUGUGGCAGGGUAGCCUGUUCAACGCCAACUAUGACGUUCAGAGGUUCAUCGUGGGAUCCGACCGCGCCAUCUUCAUGCUCCGGGAUGGGAGCUAUGCCUGGGAGAUCAAGGACUUUUUGGUCAGUCAAGACCGGUGUGCUGAAGUCACUCUAGAGGGACAGAUGUAUCCUGGCAAAGGAGGAGGAAGCAAGGAGAAAAAUAAAACAAAGCCAGAGAAGGCUAAAAAGAAGGAGGGAGAUCCCAAACCACGUGCUUCCAAGGAAGACAAUCGAGCUGGGAGCAGAAGAGAAGACCUUUAGCAGGUGGCAAGCUUCCCGCCAGGUAGGCAGGACCAGAUAGCCCCUCGCAGACUGGUGGGGCAGGUGGUGCAGGAAACUGCAUAGCAGAUGACAUUCUCAUGUCCUCUAGAAAUGGUCUGUGUAUGACCAUCUGGUCAAUAUCACAGUUACCGUAUAAAAGGCUUCCCAUGUGAAGGCAGGAUUUGUGAUUGGUAGUGGACUGGCAAGUCAUGUCUACUGUGGCUUCACCUGACUUUGGAAACUUGAUGUUUUGUACCUUUUAUUUCUCUUGAGUCCAUGACACCCCCAGAGUACCACUCCCUCCUCAGUGCACCUGCUGUGGUCCCAUGGCCUGUUGUAUCUGUGUAUUACAAGCUCAAGUCAGACAAGCCUUGAGAAGCUUCAACUUGACUGAAGCGCGGGUAUUGAUUGUUCAGUGAGUGAAGAUAACUGUGCCGUAUGGGCAGUGCUGUGUUCAGUGAGUGAAGAUAACUGUGCCGUAUGAGCAGUGCUGUGUUCAGUGAGUGAAGAUAACUGUGUCGUAUGAGCAGUGCUGUGUUCAGUGAGUGAAGAUAACUGUGCCGUAUGAGCAGUGCUGUGCGCCCAGGAUCUGGACAGCAAACUCGUUAUGCAGAGUGGGCAGAUUCACGACAGUGCCGUCCAGAACUUCUCAUCGGUUCUGGGGAAUCUUUGUCUCCCCGUCUCCUGGAGUUGAAGAGGGAAUGCGCUUGUUCAUCGUGUGAGGAAAGAAGGAUGCUUCCACUGAGGGCCCACGUUCUGCAUAGCCCAACAACUAUAAAGUUGGCGAGGAGGGACCAGCAGAGUCUUGCAUAGGAGUGGACCUCAUCUACAGUAUUUCUAAGCGGUUUCCUUUGAUGAAGUGCCUAAACUUGUGCUUUUGUAUGGUACUCUCAUGAUGUGCUGCUGUUCACAUCUGUUUCUGCUGUUCAUAGGUUGAAGCUUCGCUAAAAGAACAUUUCUAUGAGGAUGCCAUUUUUAAGAACUCACAUUCUUUUAAAACCUCAGUUGUGGUUUGAAAUUCGAAAUAGUACAUGUACACGUACCCGGCUAGAAAUUGUCACUGUUAAGAGUGUCACAGUGUGAAGAAUUGCCCUACCCUGCUGCCAGUACUUUGUCCCAGUGAAGCUACUGUUGGUCAUUGGUUUUUCAAAAAUAAAGUACAAUUACCAGCUUCCAGUGAUAGGUAUAUUCUGUCCUCCAGUGAUGGGUAUAUUCUGUCCUCCAGUUGGUUUCCGUUCAUGUUUCUCUUACCAAGCCACACCUCCCUCCCCAGCUCAGGGCGUCCUGGACACAACCUGCUGAGCCUCUUCAAAAAGAAGCUUUUUUUGGUCCUCGCACCUUGUGACUUGUGAUGAUCUGCUGCUGUCCUGUUUGAGGGUGCUGCCAAUCUAGGAGAAGCUGGGACAGGGCACUCAUCCUUUUGGUAUCUGUGGGCCCAGCAAAUCUGAAACAAGCCCCGUUCCUGGGGUUUUUCUGUUUUCACAUGGGGCAGUUGAUUGGCUACUGUCAUGUCUAGCCAUGAUGCUCUUUUCUCAGGGCUGCCGUUUCCUUCUGGAAGCCUUCAUGAUGCUGACACGGGACUGUCAUGGCUUUGAGUGUGGUGUGCAGCCUCUUCACCAGGUUCAUGCAUCACCUGUGAUGUAGUUGUCACUGGUGGGUUCUGAGGACAGUGCAGGCAUGGCAGGAAUGACUGACUGUGAGGAGAAAGGAAGAAAUGCAUAAUGCAGUGAACUGAAUGGGCAGAGCUUUGUUGGGAGGUCAAGGGAGUUCCCUUUGCAAAGGCCCUGAGGCUAGAAGUAGUAGACAAGGGUGCUCUUGGAGGCCCCUGAGGAGUCUGGACUGGGGAGUGAGGACUCUAGGAGGCUGUUGGAAUUUUGAGUGCCUCAGGGAUUUUGCGUAGUACUGACAGGAGAGCUUCUCCGGACUCAGGCCUUUAGUCAGUCUCUCGGGUUUACAGGCAGAGAGGCUUGAAGCAGCCUUCGGUUCAUGCUUUCUGCUGUUUCUGAUUUCUGGCUGUGUAUUCUGAGCUGGGAUAAACAGAUUCUCCUCUCCAAACACUUAUUUGCUACUAGAAACGAAAUUGGCACAUUAAGCCUCCUUUUAUUACAGUUCAAGAAUUUGAACUCCAGAUUGAUCGAUUUACCCUCCCUGAUUUUUGACAGUCCCUAAACUGCCUCGUGUUGUCACAUUUCUUCAAAUUCUUGGGUUCGAGUUUCUAAAGCACAAGAAGCCAGGAGGCCCUACUGCUGCUUUUUAUGAGUCAAAUCAAGUAGAAUGAAAGUCUAUUAAAGUCACUUGUACCCAGA